rnacentral:rRNA from 1 species
AGAAUCAACGCUGGCGGCGUGCCUAACACAUGCAAGUCGAACGAGAAAGUGGAGCAAUCCAUGAGUAAAGUGGCGCACGGGUGAGUAACACGUGACUAACCUACCCCUUGAGUGGGGAAUAAACUUCGGGAAACCGAGGCUAAUACCGCAUAAUACCUACGGGUCAAAGGAGCAAUUCGCUUAAGGAGGGGUCGCGGCAGAUUAGUUAGUUGGCAGGGUAAUGGCCUACCAAGACGGUGAUCUGUA